GACGAACGCUGGCGGCGUGCCUAAUGCAUGCAAGUCGAGCGGACAGAUGGGAGCUUGCUCCCUGAUGUUAGCGGCGGACGGGUGAGUAACACGUGGGUAACCUGCCUGUAAGACUGGGAUAACUCCGGGAAACCGGGGCUAAUACCGGAUGGUUGUUUGAACCGCAUGGUUCAAACAUAAAAGGUGGCUUCGGCUACCACUUACAGAUGGACCCGCGGCGCAUUAGCUAGUUGGUGAGGUAACGGCUCACCAAGGCAACGAUGCGUAGCCGACCUGAGAGGGUGAUCGGCCACACUGGGACUGAGACACGGCCCAGACUCCUACGGGAGGCAGCAGUAGGGAAUCUUCCGCAAUGGACGAAAGUCUGACGGAGCAACGCCGCGUGAGUGAUGAAGGUUUUCGGAUCGUAAAGCUCUGUUGUUAGGGAAGAACAAGUACCGUUCAAAUAGGGCGGUACCUUGACGGUACCUAACCAGAAAGCCACGGCUAACUACGUGCCAGCAGCCGCGGUAAUACGUAGGUGGCAAGCGUUGUCCGGAAUUAUUGGGCGUAAAGGGCUCGCAGGCGGUUUCUUAAGUCUGAUGUGAAAGCCCCCGGCUUAACCGGGGAGGGUCAUUGGAAACUGGGGAACUUGAGUGCAGAAGAGGAGAGUGGAAUUCCACGUGUAGCGGUGAAAUGCGUAGAGAUGUGGAGGAACACCAGUGGCGAAGGCGACUCUCUGGUCUGUAACUGACGCUGAGGAGCGAAAGCGUGGGGAGCGAACAGGAUUAGAUACCCUG
rnacentral:rRNA from 1 species